CUAUUCCUAUCAUCUUCUUUCUACACACACCAAUAUAUAUUUACAUGUGGUUAACCUAACCUAACCCAACAACAUUUCGUUUCAUAUCGCAGAGAGAGAAAGAGAAAGGGAGAAGAGGCUGAGGAAGUGAUGGGAGAUGGGUGGGUUGGUAAAGCAUAAGAGAAUCAAUAUUUCUCACUGUUUUUGCCGAUUCCACCCAUUCCUAUGAUUUCCUCUGCUUUCUCUCUUUACACUCUCCUCUUACCUUCUCUUACUUAUGUAUGAUUUAACAGAUUAUAUGAGCUAUUUCUAGCAGGUGCGUGUGUUCUUUAUGAUAAAUGCGCUAUGUACCUUUGAAGAGAGAAGCUAAUUAAUUGAUCCAGUUGAAUCUUGGUUCAUUUGUAGAUCAAUGAGUAUAUAUGAACUGGUUUUAUCUGAAUUAUAUUAAAACUAAAUAAACAAAAAAUAUUAACAGAUAUUAACAUACAGUAACAGCGAUAGGUAGUUGAUGUCUGGAAAUUAGAUUUUCUGUAGAUUAUAAAUCAAACAUACGAAUUUGAAGAGAUAAUGUUUGAUAGUGAAAUCACUCCUGCUGAAUCUUCAAAGCAAAAUAUUUAUUUUAAAAAUUACUUUUAAAAAAUUGUUAAAGUUCACACAAUAAGCGAGUACUUCUCAAAAUGAUGAGAUUAAGUACACCUGAAUAUAUGAUAAUAACUUGUUAAUUAAUAUCAAAAUAAUAGAUGAGGUGUGAAGAUGCUUAUUCACAGUGCCAAGUAAAACGGUCUAUUAAUUCAUUUCUUAAUUUUUGAAUUUAUAUAUACAUUUUUAAUAUAAUAUUAAAGUUUGUAUGGAAGAAAAUGUUCGGAACCUGACAAAGGAGUUCACUGAAGAAAAAUGGAAGAUUUAAUAUAUUCGAGACAAAUAGAAAAAAAUGUUCAGAAAAUUGACGUGUAAACUUUAAAAGACGAAAGGUGUAGAUAUAAUCAAAAAAUAGAAGUAUACAUUUGAAUAUUUUAAAUAUGAGUAUAGAUUGAGGAUUAGAAUGCAAGAUAGUUACAUAUUUAUAAUUAGGUUAGGUUUCUUAAAUAUAAAGGGAGGUUGGAAAGAUUGUAUCCGAGAAAGUAAAUAAUAUGGAAAGUUAAAAAUUUGUCUCAUUAGUUGAAAUGAAAGUUAAAAGGAGAGUUAUGAUGCACUGAUAGGGUUAUCUAUAUAUGUGUUAGACAUGUAUAUGUGUUUCAUAAUUUGGUAUACUUUAUCGAUAUUUAUUAAUAAAAUAUUUAAUUUAUAAAAUCGUAAUAAAUUAUAAGAAAAUCUUUGAAUAUUGAUUAAUUUUAGUGACAAAAAAUAAUUAGUUAUUAUAAUGAUUAAUUUAGGUACCAAUUAUAAACUAAAGUAAUUUUUAUUAUAGAUUGGUUUCUAAAUUUGUCACUAAUAUUAGCUACCAAGAAUUUGACUAUCAAAAUAAUUAAUUUAUAAAGUGAUUUUUAAUUAGAAAAUUAGUCUCUAAAUUGGUCAUAACAUAUUUUUUAUUGCUACAAUUGGUCAUUAUUUGAGAGUUUUCUUGAAAUGGUGAUAAUUUAUGUUUUUUGUUGUUGAAGAUUUUAGUAUAUAUGAUUUUAAUUUAGAUUUAUAUUAUAACAAUCCUAUAUUUAUUAUGUUUUUAAGAAUUAUUAUACAUUUUUCAAUAUUUAUAUAUCACAUAUAAUAUUUUAUUAUUUUUAAAACAAAUGUAUCUGUGUCAUAUACAUAUUGUAUCUGAUAUAUAUAUAUAUAUAUAUAUAUGAUACAACAUUUAGAAGUAUAAGAUGAUUGUUUGAAUAUAAAUACAUCAGCUCACGAAAAUUUAAAAUUAAUCGACUAUUUAUUUAUUUUAAAUAAUAAGUAAAUAAAAAUCUUAUCAACAAAGAAAUUAUUAAAAUAAAAUAAAAUGUAAUUGAUAUUGAUAUUGAAACAAAAAUAUAUUAAAUAAUGUAAAUAAAUAUUAAUAUAAAAUAUAUAUUUAUUAUAUUUUAAAAAUUAUCAUAAUUAAUUUAAAAUAAUUAUAUUUAUUUAUCUUUACAAUUUAAAAAUUGAAAUAUAUUACCAUUUUAAAUAUAAAUAGACUUCAAGAAUUAAAAGUAUAUUUAACUUGAAUAAUUAAGGAAGACAAGUAUAAACAUAUUACUAAACCGGGACGUAGGCAUAUUUUUUCAACCAAAAGAAAUAGUUGUAUCACCAUCUUAUUGAUUUACUCAAUAAAGUUGAAUGUCCAAAAAUAACAUUAAAAUAUAUUUUAUAUAUAACUUUGAAAAAACAUAUACCUAAAGGAAUAACAUACUAAGAAAUCAUUUUUUAUGACAAAAAAAAUAAAAAUGAAGGUGCAAUAUUACUACAUGUGGAAUGCACAAAACUAUUCCGUUUAAAUUGAAGACCCUAAUAAGAGAACCUAGUGGCUGCAACCAUGAGGCAACACCAUUUAGAAUAAUAUAUAGUGAAGGUGGGUCCUAAAAGCUAAUAGAAGCCAUCAUGAUAGAGACAACUAAAACCUAAUUUAGUGAUAAUUUAUAUAAAAGAAAGAAAGAAAAGAAAAAGUUGCGUUGAAGAUGGUAUCAGAGGAGUGAACACGGCAAGGCAAGCAUGGCAUCGAGAUUGAUGCGUCUUCUGUCGUAUUACCCACAAUUCAGUAAAGUCAAGUUAAGUGGGCAUUUUGCAGACUCACCCAUCACUGACUCACGUGACAUUACAUCAACGCGUUUUACUUUAAUAAUAUAAUAACAUAUAUUAAUAUUUUAAAUUAAAAAUACAGAUAUAACAAAGUUUUUACCAGCGGUUAAAAAAUAUCAUCCCAAAUUAAAUAAUAACAGUCCUUCAGUUUCAAAAUAGUGCCACUUUAGGUUUUCCUUGAAGAUAUCGAAACCUAGAGUGACUAUUUUAAGGCGCCGUGAGGAAUUGGCUCAAAAGGAGUGUGUUGUGUGAGUGAAAGAGGUUUUCUCUGGAAAAGAUGAGGCAGAAAGGAAAGAGAGGUUUGAGCGAGGAAGGGUUUGCAAUGGGUGGUUAGGUAAGAGAAAUCAGAUGAUUCUGGUUUUGUUUUUCUUUCCUCUUGCCUGAGCCUCCCAUUCCAAUUGCUUCCUGGUUCCUCUCCUUCCUCUUUUAUUUGCCUCCCAUUUCAAUUCGCUACCAGGUAUGUAUUCAUCUAUCUCUCUUUCUUCACUUUUUUUCUCUCUAACCUAAUCUCCUUCAGGUUCAUCAUUUCUAUGUUUAUGCUCUUUUGUUUUUGCAAUUCAUAUUAUAUCAAAAGCAAUUUUGCAAAGAUAUCUGUUCAUGCGCAGCGUCACUCACCGUCUCGUGUGAAGAACAACCGAAUCAAACGAUUUCGUCACAUCACGGGUUCCUCACUUGUGAUCUCAAGUUUUUUUAAAUAAAAUUGUAUAAUGCUUUGUAUAUUGAGAUUUAUAACUUGAUUCGAUUUCACCAGUUGUAAGAUGUAGUAAGGAGAUAUUAUCGUACAAAAAAUGUAGAGCAAAAUUUCUCCUAUAUCUGAUCUUCACACCGGAGUACUCUGUUCAGGCCUAAAAUAACAAAGAUGAGAAGAAGAUGCUAUUAUAAACUAUUUGUUAGUUAAAACAUUCAUUCUUAAUCUCAAAGGCCAUCCAAACUUGGGAAGAAGGGGGAAGGUGAAUAAAUUAGUGAAAUAUUUUUAUUACAAAAAUAUUCUAGGUACAAACUUCUUUUUUUCCAUUUUCAAUUGUGUGUAUUUAGUUAAUAUCAGAUGAAGGUUAAAAGUAUAACUCAGCAUAAGAAAAUGUUCGAAUGAAAA